GAUGAACGCUGGCGGCGUGCCUAAUACAUGCAAGUCGAGCGAACAGACGAGGAGCUUGCUCCUCUGACGUUAGCGGCGGACGGGUGAGUAACACGUGGAUAACCUACCUAUAAGACUGGGAUAACUUCGGGAAACCGGAGCUAAUACCGGAUAAUAUAUUGAACCGCAUGGUUCAAUAGUGAAAGACGGUUUUGCUGUCACUUAUAGAUGGAUCCGCGCCGCAUUAGCUAGUUGGUAAGGUAACGGCUUACCAAGGCAACGAUGCGUAGCCGACCUGAGAGGGUGAUCGGCCACACGGGCUCUGAGACACGGUCCCGACACCUACGGGAGGCAGCAGUAGGGAAUCUUCCGCAAUGGGCGAAUGCUUGACGGAGCAACGCCGCGUGAGUGAUGAAGGUCUUCGGAUCGUAAAACUCUGUUAUUAGGGAAGAACAAAUGUGUAAGUAACUAUGCACGUCUUGACGGUACCUAAUCAGAAAGCCCCGGCUAACUACGUG
rnacentral:rRNA from 1 species